AUGAGCAAGUCCUACUCCUCUUCGGCCCAGUCGGCCUCCUCGUACCGUCGCACCUUCGGCUCUGGCGUAGGGGCCACCCCAAUGCAAUCCUCUUUCUCCUCUUCCGGAGGAGCUGGUGGUCGCCGCUCUGCUGCAAGCCACCAGUCUUCCCGAGUCUAUGAGGUGAAGAGCACCGGUGUUCCAUCCUACUCCGGCUACAGGGUGUCCUCUGGUGCUGGGGGAUCUGGGUACGGCUCCUCUUCAUCCAUGCGCGCCUAUUCCGGCGAGAAACUGGACUUCAACCUGGCCGAUGCCAUGAACCAGGACUUCCUCAGCACAAGGACCAAUGAGAAGGCCGAGCUUCAGCACCUCAAUGACCGCUUCGCCAGCUACAUCGAGAAGGUGCGUUUCCUGGAGCAGCAAAAUGCAGUGCUGACGGUGGAGAUUGAGCAGCUCAAGGGCCGCGAGGGGCCCGGCCGGGUAGCUGAGAUGUUUGAGGAGGAGAUGAGGGAGCUGAGGAGGCAAAUAGAGACCAUCAGCAACCAGAGGGCCCGCGUGGAGGUGGACAGAGACAACCUGGCUGAUGACCUGCAGAAACUGAAGCUCAGACUGCAGGAGGAGGUCCACCAGAAGGAAGAGGCUGAGAACAAUCUUUCUGCCUUCAGAGCUGAUGUAGACAAUGCCACUCUGGCCAGGCUGGACCUGGAGAGGCGCAUUGAGAGCCUCCAGGAGGAGAUUGCCUUCCUCAAGAAGAUCCACGAAGAGGAGAUCCAUGAGCUGCAGAGCCAGAUGCAGGACACUCAGGUCCAGGUCCAGAUGGACAUGUCCAAGCCCGACCUGACCGCUGCUCUGAGGGACAUCCGCAUGCAGUACGAGGGCAUCGCCGCCAAGAACAUCGGAGAGGCUGAGGAGUGGUACAAGUCUAAGGUGACUGAUCUGAGCCAGGCUGUGAAUAAGAACAAUGAUGCUCUGCGUAACGCCAAGCAGGAGACAAUGGAGUUCAGGCACCAGAUCCAGUCCUACACCUGUGAGAUCGACUCACUCAAGGGCACCAACGAGUCUCUGCUGCGCCAGAUGAGAGAGAUGGAGGACCGCACGGGCCGCGAGGCUUCUGGUUACCAGGAUAGCAUCUCUCGUUUCGAGGAAGAAAUUGCUAAGAUGAAGGACGAUAUGGCUCGUCACCUGAGAGAGUACCAAGACCUUCUCAAUGUGAAGAUGGCCCUUGAUAUUGAAAUCGCCACCUACCGCAAGCUGCUGGAGGGAGAGGAGAGCAGGAUCACUACCAACAUGCCUUCCCAAUCUGCUUAUUCCUCUAUUGGAUUCAGAGAGACCAGUCCUGAGUCCCAGAACAAGCGCUCCUCAGAGGUUCACUCCAAGAAGACUGUUCUCAUCAAGACCAUCGAAACCCGCGAUGGCGAGGUGUGAGCGCAAACACACUCACCGAUGUUUAUUUACAUGUGUAUACGCAUACCAUACAAUACACCUACAUCAUAUACAGCCCCAGAACACCCAAAGCAAUAUAUACUGUGGCAUUAACUGUUUUUAAUCUAUAAAUAUCUAGCUGAUUUAUUUGUAUUUGUUAUAUUCUCAUACAGCUGAAAUUCUCUAUGAGCCAGGGCGCUAGUGCCCAGUCUGUUGUGAGCGAGUCCACACAGCACCAGCAAGACAUCAUGUAAACCAGAAGAGGCAACAUCAAAAGCACCAUAUAUUAUCAAUGAAUUACGAAAUAGCACACCAAUGGACGUCUUCCUAACACAAUUUAUAAAAUAAAACCUAUUUUUAGAGCCAGAAUGCUGACCAUUUUAGCUGAUUGAAAAGGAGAACUGUCAUUGAAAUGAAUGCAACUGGUCUUUAGACAAUGUACCGUACAUCAUUAACAGGAUAGAUGCAGUAUUCAGGCAAAUGCAGUGCCUUUAGCCUGGUUUUAAAGGAAAUGAAUUCCAGGAAUCAUGCUUUAUUUGUGUUACUUUCCUUUACCUAAAAUCCCUAUUAUUUACCCAUAUUUGAAAUAUCUUGUCUGCAUAAAUGAUGCAAUGGCAAGUGUAAAGUUGGAAAUGAUCAUCAAGGCUUGGUGUAGCUGUAUUGGCCCAGUAUCCAAAGAGGCGUUUGCACGAUGCGAGUAACAGUACUUUUCUCUGCACAUAUUCCAAGCAUUUCUGUGCAAAUGUAUAAGUAAAUGAAUUGAUUAAGAAAGGCUUUUAUUUGUGUAAUGACUGUGAGAUGUCAGAAACACAAGCCUAUAAUGAGAGAGGAACUUAGGCAUGUUUAAAGUUUGAGCUCAAUGGCAUGUUCUGGGUGUUUAAUUGUAUGAGGGUGACCAUGUUGUGGCCAAAAACUCAAAUAAAGACAUUUGUAACCAUC